CAGAAAUGCAAUGAAACCACAGAACUGAGAAAAACAAGAUGCAUCAUUGCAGAGGAAACGGUGAACUUCUUCAUGAAGGAAGUGGAGUGGAGGAAUAAGAAAGAUGUUCCCAGCUAUCAGUCUCAUUGGAGACAGAGCUUGCAUGGAGGAAGAAGACUCUGACAUUGCAGGGCUGCCUGCACUCUGGCUUUCGAGAUCACCAACAGCCGAUGAGGAGUCAUUGCUCAAAUGGUCACUUUCCCCUGAUCCAUUUUCUAUGGAUUUUAAACUGGUCAGCUGCUGACAGUUCAUGACAGAAUCAAUCAUUUUCAUUUGAUUCUCCAAAGCAGCGAUACUGGAGAUCACAGAAGGCGGUGAAGAAGGACAUGACCCAGAGUAAGAGAUAAGGGGUUUUGCUGAGUCGCUUGCCAUGUCCUUUAACUCCGGGUCCUCUUCCAUAGAAUUUUCAUCAAUGUCAUCAUCGAAGUUGCUCAGCGUGUCAAUGUUCUUCUCGUCAUAGGAAAGUUCUGAGUCCAUGGCAUCCUGGAAGCCCUCUGGUAAUGGCGUGUUAGGAAUUUGCCCACCCAUAUGCAUACGAAUAUGCUGCUGAAGAACGACUGCAUUUGUAAAUUUCUUCUGACAAAUGGGACAUGAGUGCUGUACUCUAAGUGGUGGCUUUGCUCGAUGAACUCCAAAAUGCGUUUUUAGAUUGCCUUUGGUAGUAAAGGCACGUCCACAAAUUUUGCAUUUAAAUGGUCUUUCUCCUGUAUGUGUUCUGUAAUGCAUCUUGAGAGCGCUCUGACAACUAAGCACACGGUGACAAAUGACGCAUUGAUUUGGAUCUGUCAUCUUCUUAUCAAUGUUCUCUACUAGCUGCUGUAGUUUUGAGGUUUCUGAUGUUUG
rnacentral:lncRNA from 1 species